rnacentral:tRNA from 1 species
GGUGGAAUAGCUCAGUGGUAGAGAGCAUGCUUAGCAUGCACGAGGUCCUGGGUACAAUCCCCAGUCCCUUCA